rnacentral:rRNA from 1 species
CGCUAUCACUCCUACGGGAGGCAGCAGUAGGGAAUAUUGGUCAAUGGGCGAAAGCCUGAACCAGCCAUGCCGCGUGUCAGAUGAAGGUCCUCUGGAUUGUAAAUGACUUUUCUACGGGAAGAAUGAGCCGUCUGCGGACGGAAGUUGACGGUACCGUAGGAAUAAGCACCGGCUAACUACGUGCCAGCAGCCGCGGUAAUACGUAGGGUGCAAGCGUUGUCCGGAUUUACUGGGGUUUAAAGGGUACGUAGGCGGUUGUGCCAAGUCUGGGGUGAAAGUUUGCAGCUCAACCUGUAAAUUGCCUUGGAUACUGGUCGGCUAGAGUAGUGGAGCGGUGGCUGGAAUUUAUAGUGUAGCGGUGAAAUGCUUAGAUACUAUGAGGAACACCAAUUGCGAAGGCAGGUCACUGGUCACUAACUGACGCUGAGGUACGAAAGUGUGGGGAUCAAACAGGAUUAGAUACCCUGGUAG